rnacentral:rRNA from 1 species
AAUCAACGCUGGCGGCGUGCCUAACACAUGCAAGUCGCACGAGAAAGGGACUUCGGUCCUGAGUACAGUGGCGCACGGGUGAGUAACACGUGAAUCAUCUACCUUCGAGUGGGGAAUAACUGAGAGAAAUCUUAGCUAAUACCGCAUAAUACCUACGGGUCAAAGCAGCAAUGCGCUUGAAGAGGAGUUCGCGGCAGAUUAGCUAGUUGGCGGGGUAACGCCCACAAGGCGACGAUCUGUAGCUGGUCUGAGAGGACGGCCAGCCACACUGGCACUGACACACGGGCCAGACUCCUACGGGAGGCAGCAGUGGGGAAUUUUGGGCAAUGGGCGAAAGCCUGACCCAGCAACGCCGCGUGAGGGAGGAAAUCCUUCGGGAUGUAAACCUCACAAGCAAGGGAAGAGCGCAUGAAGGAGAAUACCCUUCAUGCCCGACGUACCUUGCGUAAGCCACGGCUAACUACGUGCCAG